ACGGAGGAUGCAGGCGUUAUCCGGAUUUAUUAGGUUUAAAGGGUGCGUAGGUGGCCAGGUAAGUCAGUGGUGAAAGUUUGCAGCUUAACUGUAAAAUUGCCAUUGAUACUGUUUGGCUUGGAUUUGGUAGAAGUAGGUGGAAUGUGUAGUGUAGCGGUGAAAUGCUUAGAUAUUACACAGAACACCGAUUGCGAAGGCAGCUUACUAGGCCACGAUCGACACUGAGGCACGAAAGCGUGGGGAUCGAACAG
rnacentral:rRNA from 1 species